GUCAUGAACUCUGAGAGUUUGAGAUGAGCCUCUAAAAGCUGUAUCAAUAGCACCUUGCACUGUUGAAGCAGCCUGGGUGACAGAGCUAGACCCUGUCUCAAAAAAAGAAAGAGAGAAAGAAAGAGAAAUAAAUAAAGAGAGAAAGAAAGAAAAGAAAGAAAACAAACAAGGAAGGAAGAAAGAAAAAGAAAGAGAAAGAAAGAAAGAAAAAGAAAAAGAAAGAAAGAAAGACUUCAAUAACCUAAGGAUGCACCUCAAGAAUCUAGGAAAGCGAGAACAAACCAAACCCAAAAAUUAGUAGAAGCCAUGAACUCUGAGAAUUUGGGCUGCAUUUUUAAAGCUGUAUCACUGGCAGUUUGUACUCAAAAAGCAGUGCUCUGAACAGAGUUCACCACCCAAGGGAGCCCUCUCU
rnacentral:lncRNA from 1 species